GACGAACGCUGGCGGCGCGUCUUAAACAUGCAAGUCGAACGAUCUGUAGCAAUACAGGGAGUGGCGGACGGGUGAGGAACACGUAGGAAUCUACCUUGAAGAGCGGGACAACUUUGGGAAACCGGGGCUAAUACCGCAUAGUACAGAGAUGUUAAAGGGCUAGCAAUAGUCGCUUCGAGAUGAGCCUGCGGUCUAUCAGCUUGUUGGUGAGGUAAUGGCUCACCAAGGCUACGACGGAUAGCCGGUCUGAGAGGAUGAUCGGCCACACUGGCACUGAGACACGGGCCAGACUCCUACGGAAGGCAGCAGUUAAGAAUCUUGCGCAAUGGGGGAAACCCUGACGCAGCGACGCCGCGUGAAGGAUGAAGGCUUUCGGGUUGUAAACUUCGGUAGACUGGGAAGAAGAAAUACGUUCGUUGAGGGCGUAUAGUGACGGUACCAGUCUGAAGCCCCGGCUAAUUACGUGCCAGCAG
rnacentral:rRNA from 1 species